UUUUUCGCAAGCAUUGUAACUGCGCUGAAAAAGUGUCUAAUUUAAUGAGCAAAGACUCCAAAGAAAACUUUGCGAAGAUACCAAGAUAGGACCUCAAAUGUGCAUAAAAUAAAUGCAUACCUUUUCUUUGGGGUAUGAAGUUACGAGAACGAGCUCUAUUAUUACACCAAAAGCAACGGACCUCGAAUCCCUAUUAUGUGGUGACGCUUUAUAACUGUGGGCUGAUCUCACGGACUCGUCCCGGUGACGGAUCUUUGAAGUGUCUGCCUUGUCAACUGUCGAUGGUAGGUUAUGAGCCUUCCAUGGUCGUAAAGGGUGGCGGGGAAUCAGUGUUCGAUUCCGGAAAGAGAGCUUGAGAAACGGCUACCACAUCCAAGGAAGACAGCAGGCGCGGAAAUUACCUAAUUCCAGAACGGGGAGGUAGUGACGGAAAAUAACAAUAACAGACUCUUUUGACACCCCGUUACUGGAAUGAGUACACUCUAAAUCCUUUAGCGAGUAUCAGUUGGAGGGCAAGUCUGAUGCCAGCAACCAUGAUAAUUCCAAU
rnacentral:ncRNA from 1 species